rnacentral:rRNA from 1 species
CAUGCAAGUCGAGCGCUCACUUCGGUGGGAGCGGCGGACGGGUUAGUAACGCGUGGGAAUAUGCCCGGUACUAAGGAAUAGCCUUUGGAAACGAAGAGUAAUACCUUAUACGCCCUUCGGGGGAAAGAUUUAUCGGUAUCGGAUUAGCCCGCGUAAGAUUAGAUAGUUGGUGGGGUAAUGGCCUACCAAGUCUACGAUCUUUAGCUGGUUUUAGAGGAUGAUCAGCGACACUGGGACUGAGACACGGCCCAGACUCCUACGGGAGGCAGCAGUGGGGAAUCUUAGACAAUGGGCGCAAGCCUGAUCUAGCCAUGCCGCGUGAGUGAAGAAGGCCUUAGGGUCGUAAAACUCUUUCGCCAGAGAUGAUAAUGACAGUAUCUGGUAAAGAAACCCCGGCUAACUCCGUGCCAGCAGCCGCGGUAAUACGGAGGGGGUUAGCGUUGUUCGGAAUUACUGGGCGUAAAGCGCACGUAGGCGGACUGGAAAGUUGGGGGUGAAAUCCCGGGGCUCAACCUCGGAACUGCCUCCAAAACUAUCAGUCUAGAGUUCGAGAGAGGUGAGUGGAAUUCCAAGUGUAGAGGUGAAAUUCGUAGAUAUUUGGAGGAACACCAGUGGCGAAGGCGGCUCACUGGCUCGAUACUGACGCUGAGGUGCGAAAGUGUGGGGAGCAAACAGGAUUAGAUACCCUGGUAGUCCACACCGUAAACGAUGAAUGCCAGUCGUCGGGCAGUAUACUGUUCGGUGACACACCUAACGGAUUAAGCAUUCCGCCUGGGGAGUACGGUCGCAAGAUUAAAACUCAAAGGAAUUGACGGGGGCCCGCACAAGCGGUGGAGCAUGUGGUUUAAUUCGAAGC